rnacentral:tRNA from 1 species
UGAUUAGCUCAGUGGUAGAGCGCUUCGUUCACAUCGAAGAUGUCAGGGGUUCAAAUCCCUUAUUACCC